rnacentral:tRNA from 4 species
GUCACUUUGGUGGAGUGGUUAACACGCAGCCCUGCUAAGGCUGUUCCUUCGGGAGCGUAGGUUCGAAUCCUGCAGGUGACG